UACAGAGGUCUCAAGCGUUGUUCGGAUUCAUUGGGCGUAAAGGGUGCGUAGGUGGCGCGCUAAGUCAGGUGUGAAAUUUCGGAGCUUAACUCCGAAACUGCAUUUGAUACUGGCGUGCUUGAGGACUGGAGAGGAGACUGGAAUUCACGGUGUAGCGGUGAAAUGCGCAGAUAUCGGGAAGAACACCCGUGGCGAAGGCGGUUCUCUGGGACGGUACUGACGCUGAGACGCGAAAGCGUGGGGAGCGAACAGG
rnacentral:rRNA from 1 species